GCGUCCGGCCCUAUCAGCCUGAAGGCGCCCGGAUCUCGUCUGUAUCUCGGAAGCUAAGCAGGGUCGGGGCACUGGGUUAGGAUCUUGGAUGGGAGACCACCUGGGAAUCCCGGGUGCUCGAGCU
rnacentral:rRNA from 1 species